rnacentral:lncRNA from 1 species
CUUAUAUGAGCCGCUGUUGGGAGAGGUGCGCUCCAAUAGGAAGAGUGGAGAAAUGAUAAACAUGAGGAUUUGCGAGAAAAUGACUCCUUCAGUAUGGUCGGCACUUCCUAGAAGGGCAAACGUUGCCACUGGGCUCCUUUUCCUCCCGACCAACAGCACAGAGUAAAACAAAAACAGAAGAAGGAGAGCAAAGAUUAGAGCCAUGUCAUCCAGGAUGUCAAACACCCAGGAUGCCUCCAGCAGUCCCAGGGCCCCCCAGCACUUCUGAGGGCUCCUCCUGUGCUGUCUUUUCCAUGCACACCCACCCUCCCCUAUCAGCCGGCUUCUCUCCACAAACCAUCUCUCCUCUAAAAGGUAGGUCUUCA